rnacentral:lncRNA from 1 species
GUAGGGGCAGUCCUAGAGGUGGAGGUCAGGCAGGGAGAGGUUAGCCAGCUACUGCUCAGUCAGGUGGAGGCUAGCCAGCCGGUGCUCCAGCCAGAUUCUAUGCCCUUCCAGCCAGGCUAGAUGCAUUGGCCUCAGAUGCCAUCAUCACAGGUAUUAUUUCCAUCAAUGGUAGGGAUGUUUCGGUAUUAUUUGAUUCAGGGUCUACUUAUUCAUAUGUAUCAUCUCUGUUUGCUCGUUUCCUGGUUAUUUCUCCUAAGCCUUUGGGCACUCCUGUUCAUGUGUCCACUCCUGUGGGGGAUUUUGUGGUUGUGGAUCGGAUCUACCGAUCCUGUGUGGUCGCCUUCUGUGGUUUCGAGACUAGAGUAGAUCUUCAAUUACUUGAUAUGAUCGAUUUUGAGGUCAUCCUGGGCAUAGAUUGGUUAUCUCCAUAUCACGCCGUCCUGGAUUGCCAUGCCAAGACUGUUUCACUAGUUAUGCUAGGGUUGCCGAGGUUAGAGUGGAAGGGUUCCAUAGUUGAUACACCUAGUCGGGUUAUUUCUUUCCUAAAGGCUCGGCAUAUGGUCAAGAAGGGGUGUUUGGCUUAUUUAGCUUAUGUUCGAGACACCACAACAACAGAGUCUCCAACGAUUGAUUCGGUACCAGUAGUCCGAGAGUUUGCCGAUAUUUUUCCUUUUGACCUUCCUGGCAUGCCUCCGGAUCGUGAUAUUGAUUUCUGUAUUGAUUUGGCUCUAGACACUAAGCCUAUAUCUAUCUCACUAUACUGUAUGGCUCCUAAAGAAUUAAAGGAGUUGAAGGAGAAGCUUGAGGGGUUGUUGGUGAAGGGGUUUGUUAGGCCCAGCGUAUCGCCUUGGGGUGCACCAGUGCUAUUUGUGAAGAAGAAGGAUGGGACUAUACGAAUGUGCAUUGAUUACCGCCAGUUGAACAAAGUUACCAUCAAGAACAAGUAUCCAUUGCCUCGUAUCGAUGAUUUGUUUGACCAGUUGCAGGGUGCUAGGGUGUUCUCUAAGAUCGACUUAAGGUCAGGGUAUCAUCAGCUGAAGAUUCGGGACUUAGAUGUUCCGAAGACUGCAGUCCGGACUAGAUAUGGCCAUUAUGAGUUUCUGGUAAUGUCCUUUGUCUUGACUAAUGCCCCAGCAACAUUUAUGGAUUUGAUGAACAGGGUAUUCAGGCCUUAUAUUGAUUCAUUUGUCGUCGUCUUCAUUGACGACAUCUUGAUAUACACCCGUAGCAUGGGGGAGCACGAGCAACAUUUAAGGGUAGUGCUUCAGACCUUGCGAGAGCAGAAGCUAUAUGCUAAGUUCUCCAAGUGCGAGUUCUGGCUAGAGUCAGUGGCAUUCUUGGGGCAUAUUGUGUCUGGAGAGGGUAUUAAGGUGGAUCCCAAGAAGAUUGAAGGAGUUCAGAGUUGGCCACGUCCUACCUUAGUGACCGAGAUUAGGAGUUUCCUGGGGUUAUUAGGUUACUACCGGCGAUUCGUGCAGGGCUUUUCAUCUAUUGCAACACCUUUGACUAGAUUGACCCUGAAGAGUGCUCCAUUCCGUUGGUCUGAUGAUUGCGAGGAGAGCUUCCAGAAGCUCAAGAUAGCUUUUACUACAGCAUCAAUGCUUGUAUUUCGUUCAGGCUCAGGGAUGUACACGGUAUAUUGCAACUCUUCAAGCGUUGGCUUGGGAUGUGUGUUGAUGCAGGAGGGGCGAGUUAUUGCAUAUGCGUCGUGUCAGCUGAAGGUUCAUGAGAAGAAUUAUCUUGUGCACGAUCUAGAGUUGGCCGCGAUUGUUCAUGCUCUUAAGAUAUGGAGGCAUUAUCUAUAUGGGGCAUCAUGUGAGGUUUAUACUGAUCAUCGCAGUUUACAACAUUUAUUCAAGCAGAGGGAUCUUAAUUUGAGGCAGCGCAUGCGGCUUGAGUUACUGAAGGAUUAUGACAUCACCAUUCUUUAUCAUCCGGGCAAGGCGAAUGUAGUCAAGAAUGCCUUAAGCAAAAAGGCGAAAAGUAUGGGUAGCAUGGAAUUCAUUCCAGCAGCGGAGAGGCCACUAGCUUUGGACAUUCAGUCCUUGGCUAACAGACUUUUGAGGUUUGACAUUUCGGAGCCCAGCCAAGUUCUGGUAUGCGUGGUUGCUCAGUCCUCACUAUUGGGGCAGAUCAAGGUACGCUAGUUUGAUGAUUCUCAUUUGGCAGUCCUCAGAGAGACAGUACUUCAGGGAGGUGCCAAGGAGGUUUCUAUUGGCGAGGUUGGUGCUUUGCGUCUUUAGGGCCGUCUAUGUGUUCCUAAUGUUGAUGGUCUGAGGGAUAAGAUUCUAGAGGAGGCCCACAGUUCAUGGUAUUAUAUUCAUUCGGGUGCCACGAAGAUGUAUCGUGACUUGAGGCAACAUGAUUGGUGGCGGAGAAUGAAGAAGGAUAUAGUGGAGUACGUGGCUAGAUGUUUGAAUUGCCAGUAGGUCAAGUAUGAACAUCAAAGGCCGGGUGGCCUACUUCAGCAGAUGCCUAUUCUAGAGUGGAAGUGGGAGCGCAUCAUUAUGGAUUUCGUAGUUGGGUUGCUGCGGACUUUGCAGAAGUUUGAUUCAGUAUGGAUCAUUGUGGAUAGGUUGACCAAGUCGACUCACUUCAUUCCAGUAGCGACUACUUAUACAGCGGAGAGGUAUGCUCAGAUUUAUAUUCGGGAGAUCGUCCGGUUGCACGGUGUGCCUGUUUCCAUCAUAUCAGAUAGAGGCCCUCAGCUCACUUCCCAUUUCUGGAGAGCCGUUCAGAGUGAGUUGGGGACCCGUGUAGAGCUUAGCACAACAUUCCAUCCUCAUCCUCAGACCGAUGGGCAGUCAGAGUGGACAGUUCAGAUUUUAGAGGAUAUGCUUAGAGCAUGUGUGAACGACUUUGGAGGGCAGUGGGAUCAGUUCUUGCCUUUAGCGGAGUUUGAAGAAGAGUUACGUGGAUCAAAAGGCCGUGAUGUAACAUUUAUGGUUGGCAAGAAGGUUCUCUUGAAAUUCUCGCCAAUGAAGGGUAUUAUGAGGUUCGGGAAGAAGGGCAAGUUGAGCCCAAGAUUUAUUGGUCCCUUUGAGGUGUUGAGGCGAGUUGGGGAGGUUGCCUAUGAGCUUGUUUUACCCCCCAGCUUAUCGGGAGAUCAUCUAGUUUUUCAUGUAUCGAUGCUUCGAAAGUAUCAUGCUGACCUAUCCUAUGUGUUGGACUUCAGUUCUAUCUAGCUGGAUGAGAGUUUGGGUUACGAGGAGGAGCCAGUUGUCAUUAUUGAUAGACAGGAUCGCCAGUUGAGGUCCAAGAGGAUUUCUGAGGUGAGGGUCCAAUGGAGGGGCCAACCAGUUGGGGAGGCGACCUAGGAGUCUGAGGAGGACAUGCGAAGCAGAUAUCCCCAUUUAUUCAGUAGUUCAGGGACUUUUCUAUGUCCGUUCGAGGACGAACGUUUGUUUAAGAGGUGGAGAAUGUAACGACCCGACUGGUCAUUUUGCCUCUUUGGACCCUGUUCCCUCUUAAAAAACUUCCCGUGCUUGCUUUAGCUAAUUUGCAACUUGCGGGGACGAUUGGUUCGGGAAUUUGGAAGAGUUUUGGGUGAAAUAUGUCCAUUUGAUUCUUUAGGAUUCUCUUAAAAGACAAAGUUUGACUUUGGUCAAUAUUUCGAGCAAAUGGACUCGGAUCCGUGAUUUGAUAGUCCCGAAGGGUCCGUGGGAAAAUAUGGGACCUGGGCGUAUGUCCGGAAUCGAAUUCCGAGGUCCCUAGCCCGAGUAAUGAAUUUUUAUUAAAAAUUGUUAAUUUGAAGUUUUAAGGAUUUAAAGAAACUAUAUAAUCAUUGAUUUCCUAAGUAUCGGGCUCGUAUUUUGGUUCUGAAGCCUGGUACAAGUCUGAAAUAUCAUUUAAGACUUGCUUGUAAAAUUUGGUGUCAAUCCGAGUAGUUUUAGGACGUUUUGGCCCGUUGGGGGAAAAAUUACGAACAUGAAGUUCAUAAGUUGAUUCAUUUGGUUUUAGGGGAUGAUUUCUAGAUUUAGCGUUGUUUCGGGUGUUCUAAAGGUUCGAGUAGGUCCGUCUCCUGAUUUCAGACUUGUUGGUAUGUUCGGACGGGGCCUAGGAGUCCCGAGCAUCAAUCGGACGAGGCUCGAGUGAAGUGGAAAUUUUGGGAAAGGGCUGAAGGAUUGCUACUUCUGUCAUAACCGCAUCUGCGGUUCUUGGACCGCAGAUGUGGUCCUUCCAUCGUAGAAGCAGCCUAGGUGACAAGGCCAGGAAAUCGUAGAUGCGGCUUCCAAGCCGCAGAAGCGGCUCCGCAUAUGCGGCCCUAAGACUGCAGAUGCAGUCCCAGCUCUUCCUCCCCUUUUCAUAGAUGCGGUCUAAUUCUCGCAGAUGCGGAAAUCACUGAACCGGUGAGGUUCAUUAAAGACGGGUUCUAAGUCAUUUUAUGACAUUUUCACUCCUCAUUUGGGCGAUUUGGGAGCUUUUGAGAGAAGGUCUUCACUUAGGAUUGUGAGGUAAGUUUAUUCCACCCAUCCUUAGUUUAGUACUUGUAUAUUAGGUAGGUUAAACACUAGAAAUUAGGUAAAAUCAAGGGGUUAGAGCAAGACCUAGGGUUUUACUAAAAUUUAGAUUUAACCACGAAGUUUGUUAUGAAAUGAAUUAGAAAUCAUAUAUUAUUGAUCCUUAGGUUGUAGAGAACAACUUCUUUCGAAAAAUCUCGGAAUCCGAGCACGUGGCCCCGUGGUCGGAAUUUAGGAAACUUGUGAAAAAGGUUGGGAAAUUGCUUAAAUAGCUAGAAUUCGAUCUUGUAAGUCUAUAUUGACUAGUUCUUACUUCAUUUAACUAGUUUGGUAUUGUUCGGCUCCGAAUUGAGGGCUUGAACUUGUUCUUGAUAUUUGGAAGUGUGCUUUGGAGCAAGGUGAGUCUCCUUUCUAACCUUGUAAGAGGGAAUUGUCCCCAUAGGUAUAAUAAUUGAGAAAUUGCUGCUAAAUGCGGGGGCUACGUACGCACUAGGUGACGAGAGUCCAUGCGUAGCUACUAUGAUGUUAAUUGCUUGGGUAGUCUAGGACCCACAUCAUGCCUAAAUUGUGACUAUCUCCAUAUUAACUUGCUAAUGGAUCGUUUAUGAUUUAGAGACUUGGAAAGAAAUAAAGGUGAACAUGUGAACUUGUUGAAUCCUUGUACGAAUUUAUGUGUAUAUAAAUGUGUCUUCGUGUAUAUUCUUGAUGUUUCUUGAUAUUUAUGGAUCGGGCCGAUCGCCUCGGUGUAAAUAGACGCAUCAAUGAUUUACACCGUUUGACCCUCGGCAGUGCACAGUUUAUUUUCUGUUGGAGCGGGCCGUCGACCUCGGCAUAAUGUGCGCAUGAUAUCUAUGCGGAAUCUUACACAUGACUUGUUUGCUAAGUAUUUUGAAAUGUAAAUGUCUAACUGAAAUAUGGUCAAGAACAUGAUUAUUGCUUUUUAUUAUAAACUGUUGAUUAUUGGUGAUCCCCAUGCCUAGUAUCAUAUUAUUUUGACCCUAGUAAGUAUCAAGUCGACAUCUCGUCUCUACUUCUUCGAGAUUAGACGGGAUACUUACUGGGUACAUAUUAUUUAUGUACUCAUACUACACUUCUGUACUUAAUUGUACAGGAUCUAAGGUAGGUACAUCUAGCUACCAGUCUGGUGUGUGCCCCUGAUUUAUAGGUCGAGACUUCCAC